GACGAACCGUGCGAACGUUGUUCGGAAUCACUGGGUUUAAAGGGCGCGUAGGCGGGCUGUCAAGUCGGUGGUGAAAUCGUUCCGCUCAACGGGACAAUGGCCUUCGAUACUGGCGGUCUGGAGGGAGGUAGGGGCAUGCGGAACUUCCGGUGGAGCGGUGAAAUGCGUAGAUAUCGGAAGGAACACCUGUGGCGAAAGCGGCUCACUGGACCAUAACUGACGCUGAGGCACGAAAGCUAGGGGAGCAAACAGG
rnacentral:rRNA from 1 species